UACCUUCUAAAGCUAUAGGCAGAUCUGAGGGGAUUUGUGAAGUGGUGUUAUUUACGACACAUACCUCCCACUACCCACUUUUUGGCGGGGAGUGGAAUGGAAAUAUUUAAUGCCUCUCUUUCUUAACAGGAGAGGUAACAACAGGUAAUGCUUUACUAACAUACCGCCGCUACAGCUACAGCCUCCUAGAACUUAAGGUGAAUUUCUCCCCUCCCCGCCUUCGCUCAAGACUUACUGUGGGUUCUAGAAAGUCAGGGAAGAGUGCCAUUGCUGCUGCAGCCUGCAGUGCUCCUGACAUGUUUUAAAACGUGUGACGCUAGGACCUAGCGCUGUUAUUGCUGCCGUAAUGAUCUGGGGUGCCAACGGUUUCCCUUUUUCUAGGACAGAAUGAUCUGAUGCCAGGAAAUACUAGAUUUUAAAAGGACCUUUUCCCUUAGGUAAUUUUCUAGCUGCAGAUGCAGAAUGAUUUUCAGUGGCAAAUUUCCCCCCAGAAGUCCCUGAAAUGGAGUUAUUACGGCUUGGAGGGGAAACAAUUGUUUCCAUUCCCACCGACUCCCUCCGCAAUGUUCCCUUCCCAGGUAAGGGAGUUUAUUACUGGCCAGCAGUGGGCAGAUGGACUUGAGAUCAAGCAAGAAAAAUGCAAACUAAAAAUAAAUUUAGUAUAGAAGGAAAACACGGAAGCGUUCCUGGGAAGGAACUGAAGAAGACCAGAAUGACUGAAGGAAACAUGGGGGCGGCCUGCAUCUCCGGCUAGCUGAGUAGCUGCUAGGAGUUACUACAGCUUUCCCAUCCUCAGUUUCUUCAUCAAUAAAAAAGAAUUAAAAUGAGAAAAUCUUUUCAUGAAUCUUAGGCACAGUGAGCAUCCCACAAAAGAGGUUGAAAAUGAAUUUAUAAAUGGGAGAAAUUUCGAUUGCAGAAUUUCUGGCAUCAGAGACUCAGAGUGCAUUUGAACCAGCCUUAGCUGCUUCGGCUGUCCCACUGGAGGCACAACUUCCAAGUGGAAAUCAAUGCAGGGUGGAGGAGGAGCAAAUGCACAGCCUCCUACAGGCUUGAAGCAUCAUGCAUUUAUUAGAUCUCGCAGUUUAACAAACUCCUGUAAAAGGCAACACUGUGAGGACUCAGGGCACUCUUCAUACCCUUACAGGCUCCAGCUGUGUCCCUCAUCUCCAAUGCCUGUCACCUGUUCUUCCACUUCUUCCCACCUGUGCUCGCAGGGAGGCUCCAGCCCUGGCUCCCGGUCUAUGUUUGGCUUCUGAGAGGCCACAGGAGGCCACCCCCCAGCCUUUUUGACUCAUUCCUAAAUGUUUCCAUGAUUAUCAUAGUCUUGAGUCUUGGAUUGUGAAUCCUCGUAACCGACACAGAGUGGCAGGAUCCCAUGUGGAAUAUCCUAUGGCCAGUCAAACAUCCGGAUACCUCAGCUGGAGAUUGCUGAGAGCUGAUCCUGAAAAAGUGAACUAUUGAUGGAACUGAGGAGGGAAAGGAGAAAUAACUUUGGAGCCAGAGCUCUGAAUGCUUCCUCAAAUUCAAAACUCAGCCUCCCCACUUACUGGUUUUGUGGCUUCAGCUGUCAAGUGAAAUGGGAGCAGGCCUGCCCAAAUCAGGGAGCCGAGGUCUGCAGCGGCUCUUCACGUUCCACGUGGUAAUAGCCAGUGACAGCUUCUACUCUGAACAAAUUGUUUUCCGUUGGUUGAUGGGUCUCAGCUGUUCUAACCUGGGAAGUGAUGGGAAAAAAUGAAGCUGAGAGUGUUGCAAUGAACUUCCCAAGGUCAUUCAUCUGUGGCAAAAUGUUUGACAUGACGUUGGAAUUUUUUUCACAAUCUAGAAGAAAUCCUUAAUAAAGCUAUCAGAUCCUAGCUGGUUGAGUUAUUUUACAGAAGAUGAGGGCUCAGCUUCUGGAUAUUUGUUAAUGAAUAAUGAAACAUUAGGACUGCACCUUUGCCUCUGAGUAUAAUUUUGGACACAUUCUACAAAUUUUUAUUUUAAAAAAUCGUAUGGUGCUGCAAACAACCUGAAGGGUUUUUCCCCUCAUUUAUUUAAUUGGCUUAUAAUAAAUCUUUAUUUUUUUAAAUACAUUUUGUUUAAACUUUUAUCAUUACUUUUCAGUUAUGCCAUUCAUUGGCUUUGAUGUCAGAGAGCCUUGUAUGUUUAUUUUCAUACACUUGUAAUGUUUUAGUAUUUAAUUUGUCGUCUAAAAUGUGAUUUUUAAAGUAACUAUUUCAUCAGUUCUUAAAAUUAUAUACUCUGUGUUUGGAGGGUAGAAAUUUCUGUAUAAGUAUCUUCAAUUGUGCUUUAUUAACUAUUAUGUUCUGUGUUUAAGGAUGCAAAGUUUGAAAAUAUUUUCUUUUCCAGUUUUUACAAAUUUGUUUCUUUAUAAACUACUCAUCUAUCAAAAAGCUGAAUGUUUCUGUCAAUUUAACCUCGUUUUCAUAAUAGGCUUUAUUUUAUAUAUUUGAGAAAAAAAUACUUCAUGCAUAGAGAUUUAUCAUCAUUAUGGGAUUAAUUUUUAAUGGAAAACUCUUUUCUUUAUCCAGUGUAAUCUGAAGGUUAAAAAUACAUUAAUGAAUUUGGUCUUAUUUUUGUCAUAUUGUUUUAUGGUUUAAAAAAAUUUACACUUGUGCUGUAUCCUUUUUUCUCCUGCUACAUGCACUGUUAUUAAUUGAAGAAA
ensembl:lncRNA